GAAGAUGAGGCCAUCUGGAUUAGCCAUUUGCUUCCCCGUUGUCUCCAGGGUUGAUUCGGCUCAUGUGGUGUACUAGGCAGGUGUCUUCCUUCUACCUCAUUACUUCAAGUGUGUCUCUUCUAAAGUUAUUCACUCAAUAGAAUAAAUGGUGCCAAACUGUUCCCAGAGCAUCAUACCAAUACCAAUAGACCCCUCCACCAGGAACACAUAUACCUGUCUCUCUAGAGCUCCUAAAAACUACUGGGACAGGCAUUUUAAAGUUUGAUUUUAAGAAU
rnacentral:sRNA from 14 species